CCCAGGAGGAGCUCUUGGAUCUAUCUCCCUUCUUCUUGGUCACACCACUUCAUCAGCCACCUCAGCACUCAUUAAGAACAUCCUCUGAUGGGAUGAGAUCACGCACGGUGCUUUUCAGGAAAAGCUGAAGGAGUCUUAGUGGUUAAACCCUGGACUUACAUCUCAGAUGUCAGAAGAUAGCUGAGGAGUGAUGUUAUCAUCAUCAUCAUCAUCAUCAUCAUCAUCAACGGAAAGUAUUCAUUGAGGUCUCCUCUUCCUUUUGGGACCCAGUCAAGGCAACAACCUGUAUCUUUUUAGAGCAAGGAGGGGAGUUCUGAAGAUGACACGAUCAUUCUGAACCCUCUGCUCCAGUAUGCUCAUCUUCUCUCUGCUGUAGACCAAGCUGAUCUGACUAACUGCAGCUGUCUUUCCAACUUCACUGCUAUU